AACGCACAUUGCGCCCCUUGGUAUUCCAUGGGGCAUGCCUGUUCGAGCGUCAUUUGUACCUUCAAGCUCUGCUUGGUGUUGGGUGUUUUUGUCUCGCAGUUUUGCGUAGACUCACCUUAAAGCAAUUGGCAGCCGGCACUUUGGCCUGGGAGCGCAGCACAUUUUGCGGUUCCUGCUAGUAGUGUUAGCAUCCAUCAAGUCUUUCUUUCACGUUUGACCUCGGAUCAGGUAGGGAUACCCGCUGAACUUAA
rnacentral:misc_RNA from 1 species